rnacentral:rRNA from 1 species
GUCGAGCGAUGAUGAAGAAGCUUGCUUCUUCUGAUUUAGCGGCGGACGGGUGAGUAACACGUGGGCAACCUACCUAGUAGAUUGGGAUAACUCCGGGAAACCGGGGCUAAUACCGAAUAAUCCAUUUUGUCACAUGGCAAAAUGCUGAAAGGCGGUUUCGGCUGUCACUACUAGAUGGGCCCGCGGUGCAUUAGCUAGUUGGUGGGGUAAUGGCCUACCAAGGCAACGAUGCAUAGCCGACCUGAGAGGGUGAUCGGCCACAUUGGGACUGAGACACGGCCCAAACUCCUACGGGAGGCAGCAGUAGGGAAUCUUCCACAAUGGACGAAAGUCUGAUGGAGCAACGCCGCGUGAGUGAUGAAGGUUUUCGGAUCGUAAAACUCUGUUGUAAGGGAAGAACAAGUACGUUAGUAACUGAACGUACCUUGACGGUACCUUAUUAGAAAGCCACGGCUAACUACGUGCCAGCAGCCGCGGUAAUACGUAGGUGGCAAGCGUUGUCCGGAUUUAUUGGGCGUAAAGCGCGCGCAGGUGGUUUCUUAAGUCUGAUGUGAAAGCCCACG